GGGAGGCCGGGGGACGUGGGAGCGGCGCACCAGGAGCAAGGCGUCCCUGGUGACAGCGCGUCCCGAGGGCUCUCCCUUUUCCCAGAGCGCAUUCCAAAGGCCGACUCCUUUGCAGGCUCCACGAGCCCCAUUCGCGGUGGAGAGGGGCGUUCCAGGCUGCAGGACCCUUAGAGAUGAGAGUAUGAAAGAGAAAAUACAUACUCUGGAAUCCAUUGGUCCUACCCCACUUAUUCAGAAUAAUUCAAUUAAAAACGACACACAUCAUAUAGGAAUGUCAACAGUGAAGGAAUUGUUAGGAGUUCUAGAAGAGGGAUGGAAUGCAAACAACAGCUCCCUUCCUCUCCAGGAAGCAGAGACCUGAAGCCCACGAUUGUGGUUUUUGAAGACUGAGCUCUCUCUGCUCUUGAGUAAGGAGGUCCAAGAUUUCUCCUUGAUAAAAAUGUGGACUGCAAUGCUAGUUAAAAGAAGCAAUUGGGGCUUUUGGUAUAGAGAAAUAUUUGGAAGCUGAAGAGACUGAGGUGGACUGGAAAAGCUUCGGAGAUGCCAAACAUCACAACUUAGAGACAGGAAAGUGGUCUGAAAAUAUAGCAGCUGCCUGGAGGUGCCAGGUGAGUGGGCUUGGAGAAGAGCCACGAUGAGGGCCACUGUUGGAGCCAUACUGAACAAACUCUUCACAGCCCUCACCAGAGGACUUUGCAGUUAAGUGGCAAUUCUGCCUCAUGUAGACAAAUAAUCAUGGGAGGUGAUUUGCAGCCUGUGAUCAAGUUCUUUUUUAUCCAAGCAAAAAUAAAUGAUUCCUGAAAAUUAUCAAAAUAAUCAAACACAAGCAGAGUCUGAGAAACUGUCACAGCCAAGAGGAAUCUUAAGGUGACAUGAUGGCUAAAGGCAAUGUGGUACUCUAAAUGGGAUCCUGGAAAAGAAAAAGAACAUUGGGGGAAAACUACAGACAUCUGAAUAAAGUAGAGACUUUAGUUAAUAAUAAUGUAUCAGUAUUGGUUUGUUAAUUAUAAUUAUAUAGACCAUACUAAGAUAAGAUGUUAAUAAUAUGAGAAAUUGGGUGUGAAGUAUAUCCAAUGUAUCUAUCUUUCCAAUGUCUUUGUAAAUCUAAAAUAGUUCUAAAAUUAAAGUUUAUUUAAAAAGAAAGAGAAAGAGAAAAACACAGACUAACCUGGGAGGAUGUGUCCUCCAAAACCCUCAGGACCCUGGAAGCACCCAGGAGACCUGAACUCAUGAAUUCCUUGAGUAUAGGAAUUGAUUCAUGCUGACAUUCUCCGGGGCCAGUGCACAGUAUCUGGUUUUAAUAGUUACUGAAUUAAAAUCUAUUUCCAGUAAGGAAGAAGCAAGAGGCAAUAAAGAGAAUGUUUUUCUUCUGAUGAUAAAUAAAACUGCAAACUAUAUUUUGUGUACUUAAGUUGAUUGAAAAUUUUGUAGGGAUAUCCAGUUCAACAGAGUUUACCCUGACAUUUGGAAAAAAACUGUGCUCUUAGUGCAGAAAGUAACACAAGACUCCAUUCUUUAAGAAUACUGCUAUUUUGCCAGAUGCAGUGGCUCACGCCUGUAAUCCCAGCACUUUGGGAGGCUGAGGUAGGCGGAUC
ensembl:lincRNA